GGUUCUCUUAGGAAGCUGGAAUCCCUUCUGAAAGUCUGUGAUGUAAAGAGAGAUGUGUUUCUUCACAGGCUGCCUUUUAAAAGGUGAAGCAGUAAAAUGCUGUUUGUGUUCUUAAUUUCUCCUGAAAAUCCUGAAAGAGUGGAUGUAUGUUCUUGCUUUGCCACCACCUAAUACAAGAUAUUCCUGGCUGCAAAGAUCUUGAGAACAAUUCAAGAGAGAUGUUGAGGUGCUGGAGCAUGUCCAGAGAAGCUGAAUUCCUGAUGUCUCUGGACUAACUCAUAUGAAGCUCUGCACUGCAGACCUGCUGAAACACAGGAGGUAACCCCAAGUUCUCUGACUCUCACAUCCAGUUUCAUUUCUGCCCCAUUUCCUGUCACCCUGUGAUGAAGAUGGGAUAUGAGAAUGGGAAGCAGAGCUAAGAUCGUGGGAUUAAUCCUGACUUUUAUCUUAAAGAAAUGAUGUAUUUUUAAUUCACAAAGUAAAAAACAAUGGAAGUGAAAAA